CAUGGAUAUUUGUUUGACAUCAUUCGAUCAUGGUAUUUCAAACGUGUGCAGGGUUGUUUGGGAACUGUAACUCAGAUCAUGGCGCGAAAACUUUUCAUUGAUGCCCCGCCAUUACUGAAAAGAAACAAAAACUGGCGGUCGCUUCAAAAAUGGAACAAUAACCUCUAACUCGGCCACGGGCACAGAUAAAAAGACUACUUCGAUUCGAUAUUGGGAACGCAUUGACGAGCAUCAUUCCGACGCGCGGGAAAGUGAGGAGAAUGAAAAAGGUUACCACUCAAAACACGAGGGAUUUUUAUGUUUAUUUAUUAGAAAACUUUUCAACGUUCCUCUUGUUUAAAACAUUCAGUUUCACAAAAUGCUUCACGAUUUUAUCACACUGAAAAAUAAUAACAAUGUUACAUACAACUAUAUAUUAUUGUAGACAUGCCUACUUUCUUUGCCUUUAAUUGAAAAAAAGAAACGGCGAGAAUGAUUUUAAUUGAACUCAUUUAAAACUGGCUUACACCAAAUCGAUAGAAAACCAAUAUCAUGUUUUGUUGCUCAUUGUUUUAGUCCCAGCUGUCUUUACUUAAGCAUUACUUUUACAAAUAUUGAUUUUGUAUAGCGUUCCACACUUUUAAAACAUCAUAGUUUGUCAUAGAUUUUUUAACGUCGUAGAAGUUUUGACUAAUGCGUUCUAAUUUUAAAUUGUUGAGUUAACUAAUUACGCAAACACAUUGCAGUGAAACGCCGCCAUCUUGAAUUCGCGAGGCGUCACACCGACCUUUUGUUAAAAAAGGUCUAAGUAUAAUACAUACGUACCUAUUAUGUGGGAGACAGCAGUGAUUAACUAGAGAUAGGGUCUAAACGAAAACCCACCCUAUUGUUUGCUAACAAAGCCUGUUUUUAUCUGUGCAAUUUUUUUAUUUUUUGUUUUACAUUUGGCGCGUAGGGAUCGCUGAGGCACAUUUAGCGGUCCCUCCCUCGUAGGGAUGAGAUUUCUUAUGUGGCAAUAUAUUAUUAUUAAUAUCUAGGGGUAAAUUCAGAGGCCGUUAAACAAAGUAAUUUUGUUUAUUGCGUCUCGGUUUAAUUUUUCGUAGUCACAUAAAAUUUUAACCCUUUUUUGUUGUCCAUUGUUUCAAAUAAUUAAUGAUGAUGAAAUUGCUAAAAUAGGAAGAAAUAUCUAAAAAAGCUCAUAAAAUUAAAAACGUAAACGUUAUAGACAGUAACUGUAAUAGACAUAGAUAAAGAGUAAAUAUAAAACUUAUAGGGUUGGGUUAUAACAAAUUUAUUAAAAGCAUGUUUAGACUUUUUCUCUACUAAAGUCCUCAUUAGACACUCGCGAUUUCAAGACGACACUAAUAUUAUAUACACCAUUUGUUAAAUAUUUUUCAUUGAUAACGGCAAUAGUUUUUCCAUAUUUUCUUUGCACUCUUUGAAUCAUUUAAGGUCACUUGUUAAGUCUACACCCUUAAAUAAUUGUAAAAUAGGAUUAAAAAUAUAUUCCAUACAAAAUCAGAUUAAGAAAAUUAAUUUACAAUAAAAUAAUAAAAUUUGCCAGUUUUACACGUACUUUUAGAAAUAUAUUUUUUGUAAUUGCUGUCAUCUGUAUCUGGCAAUAUUUUUACAACUAAUUUGUAUUUGUAAUCUGUGUCUAAAUACUUCCGUAAACAAAUAAUGGCGGUUUGAGUCACUUCCAAACCAUUUUGAUUAGUUCUCUCUGACGAGAUUUUGGACAAAGUUACUUUAGAAAAAAUAAUACUACAGAUAAGGUGACGCGGUCUUUAGUUCUUGCCUGACUUAAUUAAUAAAAAAAAACAAUUUAAGCAUAUUUAAAACCAUCAUUAACACAAAGCAAAGAUAUUAAUCAUUUUGACACUGUCCAUUUUAUAAAAAUAAAUGUUACAAAUUCCAACUCUGAAUUGUUAAAAUAGAAAUAUACAUAGGUAGUCCCGCCAUUUUCAAAGUGAUAGUGUGUGCCAAUAGCCCAUAUUCUAACUCUAAACGUGUAAGUAGUCUUUUUCAUCAAAAACAAUACUAUGUUCAACAUACACCGUUUGAAAAUGUUUGUGAAAAAUAUUUGGUUUAUACAAUGCUGCUAGAAAAUAAAUUGAUACAAAUUCAA